AAAAGCUAGCAAAAACUUAGGGUUAUUAUUAAAGUCCUUAAACACAAUCCAAUGCCAAUAACCAUUUGCCUUGUCUUGUAGUUUUAGUGAUUUAGUAUUUUCCAAGCCCGCAAUGUAUAGCGUGCAAAACUCAGGUCAAUGCCCCACGUACUACGCGGCAUUGACCCCGAUUGGCCUAUUUACGUAACGUUCGUUGACCUCUAUCGUCACUAAGAUGUUUCAUUUGCAAUAUU